rnacentral:rRNA from 1 species
UGGGGAAUUUUGGACAAUGGGGGAAACCCUGAUCCAGCCAUCCCGCGUGUGCGAUGAAGGCCUUCGGGUUGUAAAGCACUUUUGGCAGGAAAGAAACGUCAUGGGUUAAUACCCCGUGAAACUGACGGUACCUGCAGAAUAAGCACCGGCUAACUACGUGCCAGCAGCCGCGGUAAUACGUAGGGUGCAAGCGUUAAUCGGAAUUACUGGGCGUAAAGCGUGCGCAGGCGGUUCGGAAAGAAAGAUGUGAAAUCCCAGAGCUCAACUUUGGAACUGCAUUUUUAACUACCGGGCUAGAGUGUGUCAGAGGGAGGUGGAAUUCCGCGUGUAGCAGUGAAAUGCGUAGUUAUGCGGAGGAACACCGAUGGCGAAGGCAGCCUCCUGUGAUAACACUGACGCUCAUGCACGAAAGCGUGGGGAGCAAACAGG